AUGUUUAUUCAGUGUUUUUUCAGUGGUUAUUGGUUUCCUCUUGAGCAGAUGAACUACAUUGUCACAUUAAACUGCAGGGAGAUGUUCCCUCAGUCCUCUCUCGACAAAUCCAACAGUACAGGUUCUCCGGCGCGCCAAGUAUUGCCGGCGGCGAUGCCUGCAUCAUGGCCCAUUGAGGAGAUCAUGCCCGUCAGUUGUACUUGGUGGUGCAGACUUGGUAGCGGUUAUAUUUUGGUUCGAUUAUAUAUCAACAACAGUGCAAUGACUGAAAGAUCAUCAGUCCAAAAUAUAUGCAGGCACCAAAUUCUGCUACUGCUCCGACCACUCAUGCCAAGAAAAGGGAGCACAAUUCGCAAGGUUCAGAGCAAUCUGUCAUAG
rnacentral:rRNA from 1 species